rnacentral:ncRNA from 1 species
CUCUUAUCAAGAGUGGCAGAGGGACUGGCCCUAUGACGCCCGGCAACCGUUCUAUUUUCUAGAAUUGGUGCUAAAUCCUGCAAAACCAUUAUCGGUUUUGGAAGAUAAGAG